CGAGUUGAAAUAGUCUAGAACCGCCACUGGCUCUGAAGCGAGGUGUUCCCGCAUCAGCCUGUCGAAAGAAACUCAUGCAGAGAUUCUAUAAUUCUGAUUAUAUGAAGAGAGAGGGUCGGAUGAACCCACGAUCGAAUCCACUGUUACCGAAGAUAUAGCGGGCGAGCGAGGGUCCAGGCGUGCGUGCGCCAGUCUUGCCUAGCGCAAGGCUACGUUGCGACACAAGAAAAUAGCUGGGGGGAUGCACGAAGACAGCACGAAUACAGCGGUAGCAUGACGCGGGACUGAAUCGAUAUAUUUCCCCGUGAAAAACCAGUCAUACAUUGGGACGGAUAUCAUUUGAGUGUAAAGGGCGUCGAAUAGCCUAGAUCAUUUAUUAUGGAGAAGAUGAGCGUAAACCAGACUGGAUAUGAUGGUAUUUGUAGAGUGGAUGGUGGAACGGUGACGGGCGGCCUCAACGUCAGUGGUGCCCCGAAGCUGCUACAGUAUGCUCAGCCUCCCGCUAAUAGACCAAGGGAUGCCCGGCACCAGCAACAUAGCGGCCGGCAGCACCAGCACGGCGGUGUACCUGUCAAACCGCCUUAUUCCGAACGGUCCGAACCCGCGGACGUUGUGAAGCGCGCCAUCGAUUUCAAGACUCAAGGCACACAGUGUUACAAGGAUAAGAAGUACCGGGAAGCGAUUGGCAAGUACCACCGCGCUUUAUUAGAGAUGAAGGGGUUGUGCCGGGUGCUGGGAGACCCUGAUGCCAGCUCUAAGUCUCCUUCCUCUGUGCUGCCUACUAUAACCAAGCCAGACAGCCUGACAGACGAGCAGAAAGGUGCCAUGGAGAACGCCGAGCUGGAAUGUUACAACAGUCUGGCAGCGUGCCUGUUGCACAUGGAGCUGGUUAACUAUGAGCGUGUGAAGGACUAUUGUCUGAAGGUGCUGCGUAAGGAAGGGGACCACUUCAAGGCUCUGUAUCGCUCUGGGGUGGCCUACUAUCACCUAGGAGACUUCCACAAGGCUCUACACUACCUCAAGGAGUCCCACAAACAGCAGCCAGCGGACACCAACGUUCUCCGUUACAUCCAGCUGACUGAGAUGAAGAUCCGUCGUUCUGCCCAGAAGGAGAAGAAAGAGACCACAUAAAACAACCAACCAACUCACUUCCUGUUUUAAUAACUAACUCACUUCUCACUUCACGUAAAAUGUGUACUUUCUUCAUGUGCCAGCCAGACCUAGUACACCACGAGUCUUGUGCCGGGAUUCAAUCCCGAAACCGCGCUUGACAUUUAUUGGUAAUUUCCAAUUGAGCCGAUAUCUGCAGUGCUUACCUUGAAUACAAUAUCUGUAAAUGCGGUAACAUUACCUUUUAAAAGCUGCAUUGUACAAGCGUGCUUGGAUUGAAUCCUGGCCUUGGUGUUUUAAAGGAUAUUUACAGAUAUGCACAGCCACUUUUAUUCAUCUUCUUAUUCUUCCUGCCAAUUACUCCGUAAAUUACUUCGAUCGCUCUGGAUAAGAGCGUCUGCUAAAUGACUAAAAUGUAAAUGUAAAAUGAUGUGAUUCAUACCAAUUGGUGUAUUUUACAGUUUAUACAACUGAAACGGUGCAGCUGCCGUUUGGUGAUGGUCAAUAUCUCCAAAGUUUAUGUCUGUUACUUAGUUGGUCAACAUGGAGUCAGAUGGAUAAUGCACAGCACUGCCAGUCAAAACAUUGCACAAAGUGUAAAUAAGGCCAACAACACUUCUGAUGGUGACAUAGUAACAGAAAACACUGAAUGAAGCAUUUGGCUGUAAGUGACUACUGUGACUGGAUAAAUUAGGCUAGCACCUGCCCUCCCUCCUUCACACAAGAUGUGUUUCUAACACCUGGGGCCCCGUUUAUACCCGGUUCUACCAUGUGUUCUUUGUCCAGAUCUUGUCCACAUUCCGAUGUUGCCCACAUUUUUAGACAGGUGUAGACAAUUAAAAGCCCAUUGUUAUUGUGAUUAGAUCUUCUCCGGAGGUAGCCCGGGUCGUGUCUACACUUGAUACUUACAUGCGACUUCUGCUAUCAGAAUACGAAGCUCUCAUUGAAAAGACGGGUCUAGACGCACCAAAGUCGCUUUGUGGCCUGAUUGUGUUCGGAUCUGGUUGACUACUUCAGGAUUGUGUUCAGAUCUGGUUGACUACUUCAGGAUUGUGUUCAGAUCUGGUUGACUACUUCAGGAUUGUGUUCAGAUCUGGUUGACUACUUCGGUAUUGUGUUCGGAUUUCUCCUCAGUCUGGACGUUAACAGAAACGCGUACAGUGGUCGACGUCAUCAGCACUCCUCCCACAAGUCUCCAGAAAACGUGUUUUGGGAACGAGAGGUUUUCCUUUUCAUUAUAACGUCGGAGGAAAUACGUUUCUAGCGUGUGAGGAACGUGUUUGCUGGACUCAUAAAUGCUAGCGAGUUAGCUAAUAUUUGUUAAACAUUAUUUAUUUUUUUGGGGGGGGCUAAAGUUAUACGAACCCUUUUACAAUCCCUUUCAGCGUUGCUUACGAGAUCGCUGGCUAACUACAGAGGUUUAGCUGGCUAGUUAGCUACUACAGUAUCAUAUUUUGCCUAUUCCACCGUUUGGAGAAUUUGAAUAUAGCGCAGGAAAAGGGAAUCAGGACACACUGUGGACACGGUAGACAUUUAAAUUUACAGUCUUUUCCCAUCACUGCAACUCCUGUACGGACUCGGGAGAGGUCGAAGGUUGAGAGCCAUGCAUCCUCCGGAAACACAACCCUGCCAAGCCACACUGUUUCUUGACACACUGCCCAUUUAACCCGGAAGCCAACCCGCACCAAUGUGUCGGAGCAAACACCGUACACCUGGUGAACGUGUCAGCGUGCAAUGGGACAAGGACAUCCCGGGCCAGCCAAGCCCUCCCCUAACCCGGACGACGCUGGGCCAACUGUGCACCGCCCUAUGGGACUCCCGGUCACGGUCGGCUUUCGACACAGCCUGGGAUCGAACCCGGGUCUGUAGUGACGCCCCUAGCACUGCGAUGCAGUGCCUUAGACCGCUGUGCCACUCGGGAGCCCCGAGGUAUAAACGAGGCUAAGGAAUCACUUUUUUUCCCAACCUCCCACUGUUAGAAACUGAACUAACACUUGUUUUUGUUUUUAUAUUUAUAGAUGAUUUAGAUUUUAAAAUCUUUGGCAAGUCACGUUAAUACAUGGGUAUUACCAUUACCUAUAAUAGAUAUGUAAAGACUAUAUUUAGAGAUUGAAUUUAACCGUGUUUACAUUGUAAGGGCACAUAUUUGCUCAUUGUCAUGACACUUUAAAAAGAAGCAUGUCGCAAAAUAUGAAAAAAGGCUAGCUUACUUUAUAAAAUAAAAUGCUUUCUGUAUUUGUUUUAAUUGUAUAAUAGCAAAGCGAAUUGUGUUUUUUGUUUGUUUGUAAAUGCAAGCAGGGAAAUUCAUUGUACAAGAGUAUCUUUAAGAAAACACAACUGUUACAUUAUAAAGGUGUUCGACUUAUAUUCUCGAUUACAGUCAUUGUUUUUGUAUUGCACAUGCUUUAGUAUCAUCAAAUUAGGCUCUAAAACUAUUAAAAGCACAUGCCAACCAAUCACAUUAAUACCAUGGCUCUCUAUAAAGAGAGGUUGCAAAAUAAAACAAAUUAAAAAACGUAGAAUUCUCAAAUUACUUCAAUCGUUCAACAGAACACAUUCAAAUAGAAACAUUGUCUGUUAUGGUAAUAUCUCUUACUUAACUGAACGAGAAGAGAAGCGCAUAGCUGAGUGAGAGGAUGACUCCACACAUACCUUCUCCUCUUGGUAGUUCUCAUGGUGAGACAGAUUAUAAUGAGCCUGCCUUGUCAUUGAACUGCCUGGUUAUUGAACUGAAUGGUUUAGCAGUGUCUGAAAUGGUGCCAUAUGCCAAAAGUGCACUACUUUAGACCAGGGCCCAUA